CACCUACCCCUCUGUGUAUAUUCCGAACAGGUGCACACGCGACACGAGCGAGACUGCGAGACACAGGCAGCGGAAAAAUAGAGACAAAGAAGGGGCAGGAGCAGUGACCUGCCACACCAGAGGAAACGAGAGAGAGAAAAACAGCCCGAUCUCCUCCUCCCACUCCGAUCGCCCUACCGAUCGCCGCCUCGUGAAGCUUCCCUGUUCCCUCCCCGCCGCCCGCGACGCCAUGGAGCCGCCGCACACCGAGGAGGCCGCCGCUGCUGCAGCAGGAGGAGCAGAGGGCGGCAGCGCAAGCCCGGGCACCGGCCUCGAAGGGCCGAUGCUGAGGCUGGGGCUGGACGGCGGCGGGGAGGGGGAGGACGGGGAGCUGGGGGCUGGGGAGGAGGCGGACACGUGGCUUCCAGAGCGGCCUGGCGAGGCGGACUGUGGCUACUACCUCCGCACGGGCGCCUGCGGCUUCGGGGAGCGCUGCCGCUACAACCACCCUCGCGAUCGUGGCGGCACUGAGUUUGGUGGAGGUGCCAAGAAUGGAGCAGCACAAUACUUUCCAGAACGACAAGGGCAACCUGUAUGUGAGUAUUAUUUGAAGACUGGGACUUGUAAAUUUGGUUCCAAUUGCAAAUAUCACCAUCCUAAGCAAGAUGGAUCUGUGCAAUCUGUUAUAUUAAACAACAAUGGAUUCCCUCUACGCCCGGGUGAGAAAGAAUGCUCCUACUAUAUGAAGACUGGGCAAUGCAAGUUUGGUUCUACAUGUAAAUUUCAUCAUCCAGAAUUUGGUGGUAUUCCGGUAACCCCUGGCAUAUAUCCAGCAUUACAAUCAGCAUCUGUGCCCUCCCCCCUUACAUAUGCUUCAAAUUGGCAAAUGGGAAGGUCACCCGCAGUUCCUGGAUCAUAUAUAGCAGGCUCAUACACUCCAAUGGUGCUCCCAUCUGGAAUGGUUCCAUUGCAAGGAUGGAGCCCUUAUCCGGCACCGGUAAAUCAUGUAGCAUCAGGUGGAGCACAACAAACUAUUCAAGCUGGACCAUUAUAUGGUAUAGGACACCAUGGAUCUUCCACUGCAAUUGCUUAUGGUGGUACAUACUUGCCAUACUCUUCCUCAACUGGACAAUCGAGCAAUAAUCAUCAAGAACAUGGAUUUCCUGAGAGACCAGGGCAGCCUGAGUGUCAAUAUUAUAUGAGGACUGGAGAUUGCAAAUUCGGAACUACAUGUAAAUAUAACCAUCCUCAAGAUUGGAGCACUUCUAAGUCCAAUUACAUGUUCAGUCAUCUCUGCCUUCCGCUUCGUCCGGGUGCUCAGCCUUGCACGUACUAUGCCCAAAAUGGAUAUUGCAGAUAUGGAAUUGCAUGCAAAUAUGAUCACCCAAUGGGUACACUAGGCUACAGUUCAUCUGCUUUACCCCUAUCUGACAUGCCAAUUGCUCCCUACCCUAUGGGCUUCUCUGUUGCGACGUUGGCUCCAUCUCCAUCUUCCCCAGAAUAUAUCUCAACCAAAGAUCCAUCUAUCAACCAAGUAGCAUCACCAGUGGCGGCACCUGAACCUGUUGGAGCAAUCUUGCCAAAAGGGGUAUUCCCUCCGGAUACCAUUAUGCGAACUCAGACUUCUACAAGUGUUGGCAGUUCAAGCCCUGGUGGUGGUCGCUGAUUUUUCUGAGCUGGUGGGAGUGAUCCUAUCAGCACAAUUUUUUUCUGUCACUUGACACAGUUCUGAUAGGCCUUUACAAUGUGAAUAAGAAGCUGUGGCCUCUGUAGAGAAGCCGUGGCGAGGGUGGUUUUCUCUACCAUCAGAAUAAGAGAGCAUUGAUCGGUUACAAGCAAGCUCGAUUCACCUGCAAUUUUUUGCGUUGUUCCGUUCGUGUCCAAAACGGGAAAAGGAAGGUUUUUUUUUUUGGAUGUCAGGUUCUAUAGCAUGUUGGGCGCGGUUGUGAGGCUCCAGGUCCAUUCCCUCGGUAAAUAAUUCUGGGGCAAGAAAGUUUUCGUUGUUAUCAAGAAAAUUUUCACACGCAGAGUUACUGGGUUCCUCCGCCUUUCAAUUUUUUUUGUUCUAUGUAUAUUGUUAUAUAUAUAGUACACACAUAUAUAUCUUCAUCAGACUUGAGACAUGUAAUUACGUAUAUAUAGAUGUUUAUAUUGGGAGCAAGGCGCAUUGUAAUGGACCGAAAAAUGCUGAAUUGAAGAGAUCUUGCUGUCGAUACUGAAAUGGCUGCAUCGAUGAGGCCAACUUGACACUUUA